GAGAGAAAACAUAGAAAAAUAGAAACUAAAGGAAGAUUAGGGAAGUCAGAGAUGCUAAAAGGGAACAGAUCAAGUGUCUCCCUUUGGCCCAAACUUGAAAACUCUGAGGGAACAGAAAGUAAUAUCCUGUCACUGUUGUGGAGACUGCUGGUCCUUAGAAGCAAUGAAGAGGCAUCCUCAAAGUUAUAUUUAUGAGACGUUAUCCUUGUAUGGAGCCUACAAACAAGUACCUGUACAAAUAUGCCUGCCAGGAUUAAAGCUAAAGGAAGUGGAUCCUGUUGCUGUUCUGUGGAGACAGGCCAUGUCAUUCCUUCAGAUUUUUUAAUAUCAUUGCAGAGACGUAUAACUCAGGGCAGAGAGAUGGAAGGUUGUGGAUAGAAGGUGAAUGAGAAACCCUAAUCUGACAUUUUAAAACGUUUGAUAUCCCAGGAAGGCCAGCAUUUAUUUAAAUUUUUCUUUUAAACAUUUUAGAAUAGUUUAGAUAAAUUAAUAACAGUAGAAUUAUGUGAAUCAAGAUAGUAGAAACCAGAUGGGUUUUUUAGGAAGAGGGUCUACAUUUUAUGAGAUGAGCUAAUAUAAUUGUGAAAAGUAUGGAAGCUUUUGAGCUCACUAGCCUUGAUACUGUGCACAGAUUUCAAAUAAGAUUUCAAGGAUCUUUGACACUGAUCUGAGGAGGACUUCUUUAAUCUGACAUGUUGCUCUAAGUGAAUUACAAUACUUUUCUUUCACAUAGAUCCUAAAAGACAAGUGCCUAUGUGCUGGCAUUCUCUGUGCCAGUUCACUGGAGCCUGGGAUCAUAUAUGUCAACCUGGGCAAGAAUUUAUCAUGUGUAUGAUCUUCUAUAGAAAUCUGCUGAUUAUAAUCCCAUUAUGUGUGAAAUACACAUUAGGGCUACAAAAUGACACCCUUAUGAAGGCAGCUAAAUUGCAACAGAUGGGGACAGUUUUUUCUGUGACUAUAACUGCAGGUAAAAUCUGUGUUUACAGGUCUGUGUACAAACACUGCCUCCCCUCCAGCACCCCACGAGAUAAGUGUGUCUGGGAGGAGUGGAACAGCUCGGGGGAAGAGGAACAGUUCUCACACUUGCAGUCAAUGGAUUUUUAUGGUUCUUAUUACAGACUUUUGGGAUAAGAAUCAUCCCAUACUCAAUGAUCAGGCUGCUAUGCUGUUUCAUUACCACUAUAUCCAAAGGAUAUAAGUAACCAAAAAGAAUAUAGGUGGGUUUUUAUUCUACUGACAACUUCUAGAAAUGUAUUGACAGAGGAAAAUAUAGCUGUUGCAUAAAUUCAGCAAUGCCAGAAAAUAUAAUGCUGAAAACAUUUUGAGUAUAUAAAUCCAUAUUACAGAUUAAAGUUUUCAUCUCUGAGUGUUUGGGAAUUUGCCCUUUCUGUACCAAUGAAAUAUCUUCAGAAUUGCUUCUCAGGCAGCUGCACAUGUGAGCUGCAGAGACAACAGCUGAGAGGUGUUUAACAACUCUCUUGUAAUGUUCAGUGAGAUACACCUGUGCUCUGCAGAGGUUCCUGCAUGGCCUCUGUCAGGUAAAUGCUUCUAAUACAUAACUUCUAAGGUACUUCACAUGAGACAGCGUCCUUGAAAUGUAGUUUAUUUUCAUUGAAAUAAAUGGAAUUAGUCUUACUGAUGGUGUUAGCAUGUGAAUCAGUGUUUGCUGAAGGAGGUCCACAAUAACUGUUAUAAUUAACCAAUUAUAAAAUUAGCAUGUUAAAAGAAGAUGAGAAAAUGUGUUUUACUAAUUAAAGCUAUCAGCUAUUCAGUUAAAUGUCCAACUCUGCAUUUUCCCAUGAUAGACAUCAGUAGCUAAAUAGCAGGAUGAUUUUUCAUUCACUGAAAAUGGUAUUUCAACACAACACUAAUAUUGGAGUACAAACUGAAGAUUUAAUUAAGCAAAAAAAAAUACUAUUACUAGUCUAACUAGCAGCAUCUAGCCUUUAAAAAUCAUCAGUAGCUCCUCAGUGGUGGCAAUAAGAAAAAUAACAACUGUUGAAACAGUUUAGAGGCGUUUUAAUUUUCUUUUCUGCUUUAAAAGAAAUUUGAGUUUGACAAUACCUCUGAAAAUUGUCUCAGUCUGCAGUGUUACAAAUAUCACUGCUGCUGCCGAGCAGAAAUGCUUAGCAGAGUGUUUUGUAGCAGCUAAACUGGGUGGUGAUUUCCCAUUGUGGAUUCUCACCUGUGAAACAGGAGAGAGGCAUAGAGAGAAGCUGUCCAGCUUGGUCUGCAGUUAAUACCCAGGAGCUGGUUCCUUACUGAGCAGUUGUAGGGUAGAAAAUGCAGGACUUUAUGUUGCUGUUUUGCAAAACUUCCUACGUACACCCUCUCUCAAAACAAACAAAAAAAUAUUUUCCUAGGACCCACCUUUACAAACUAGAGAAUAGGGCCUAAAAUACAAAGUACUUUCUGUCUGUAAUAGCCCUUAAAAUCCUUGUAGAAUACUACACUCUUAUUAUACAUUAACGUUGGCAUGGGCCGCUGGAUACACACGUAGCAACGUGCACAAAAGGAAAUUAAUUAGGAGCAGGUAGAGGCUUCUGUUUCGUGGAUUUCAAUGCUAAGUCAUAAACUGUGUUUUAGCAACUCCUCGCGUGUAUUCCUGAGCUUUGCCAAGGCAAUGGGCCGGGUGCGGGUGCUCAGAGCCCCGUAUCCCCCGCACGAG